CAUUAGAUACACAAAUGAAUAAUUACAGGGGCAAAACUACAAAAUUCAAAGUACUUAAAUACUUAAAGCCGGGCUCUUUUGGUGUGUAAUUUUACAUAUUUUUUACCACAGAUUGACAAUCUCUCCUCUCUCUCUCUCUCUCUCUCUCUCUCUCUCUCUGUGCAUGUAUUAUGUAUUGAUCGUUUCAUUUUUUAUACUUGAACUAGUGAUUUUUUAAUUCAGGAAGUAGGACCAAAUUUCAAAGCCCCCCCC
rnacentral:sRNA from 1 species